UACGGAGGAUGCAAGCGUUAUCCGGAUUUAUUGGGUUUAAAGGGUGCGUAGGCGGGUUAUCAAGUCAGCGGUGAAAUUUUUCGGCUUAACCGUAAAAUUGCCGUUGAAACUGGUGAUCUUGAGUGCGAGCGAGGUAGGCGGAAUGUGCCGUGUAGCGGUGAAAUGCAUAGAUAUGGCACAGAACUCCGAUUGCGAAGGCAGCUUACUAGUACGCUACUGACGCUGAUGCACGAAGGCGUGGGGAUCAAACAGGAUUAGAUACCCCCGUA
rnacentral:rRNA from 1 species